ensembl:lncRNA
GGAGCAAGUGGGGAGCCGUGUGCACUCUGCAGGAAGCGAGAGAGACGAGAGCUGAACAGUGUCGAGUGAACGCAGAGUUCCUAGAAGGGCGACAGACAUAUUUUCGGAUUGACGGAUAGUUAACUGGAGUGAAAAGCUGUUGUACCCUACUGUGAGUAGGAGGAGACGGACGUCUUGCUGGCGUGUCAGAGAGGUCCCUUCUACUGGUGUGCUGAAGUUAUGUGUUCACGUGGAGAGGACGACUGAGUGCUGCUGCCGCGGCCUGCUGGUAGCCUUGACCCACUUUCCCCUGCUAUCCCCUUGAACUGCCUGGAGGUUAGUGGUAAAGGCAGUGAACACGGACUCGAUGUAUUUUGGCUUUGUUCAUCGUUGAUACACAGUCUGCAGUCACACCAUACGAAACCACAGAGCCGGUUGCCAUGGGGAUGCUGCAGGGAGCUCCUCAUCCUCCCACCAAUGGGCUUCAGCGAUCUGUUACCGCGGGAAACCUGGCUUGUUGCCUAGGAGACCAGAGACUGUGUGCUCCAGCUUAAAUGAGAGAAAGAGCUGAAACACAGGGCAUAAAAAGGUUCACAGAGAUAUCUGGGAUUACUGGUGUGUGGAGGCAAUAUCGAUCUCUUAAUUGAAAAUUAGAUAUCAGCCAAUGAAUGUAGCAGUUAUAUUGAUUCUGGUGUUAUUGCACUAUUUGUCACGGUUACUGUAUACUGUCUUUGUUUGGUAAUAUAAAAGAAAAAAAACCCAUAAAGACAUGAGUAAAAG